GCUGAGUGUGGUGGCUCACACUUGUAAUCCCAACAUAUGGGAGGCUGACGUGGGAGGAUCGUUUGAGUCCAGGAAUUCGAGGCUGCAAUGAGCUAUGACUGUGCCACUGCACUCCAGCCUGGGCAACAGAGUGAAAUCCUGUGUCUA
ensembl:misc_RNA Metazoa_SRP Metazoan signal recognition particle RNA